GGUGGGGCUGAGAAAGGUAGUAGGCGGCUAUUGGAGGGAAUGGCCGUCCUUCAGGGAAGAAGGCGGAAACGACCUGUGAAGUAGGGAUAGGGCGAGAAAGGGUGGGAGCACGUGAUGGCUUUUGAGCCAAUAGGCGGCCUGCCACCCGGCGUGGGGCUUUGCGGAAGAAGCCAUCUUGAGAGUGGGUACGUGGCGUGUCAGGCGGCGAGAAGCGUGCUUGCCUCCGGCUGCUGCCAUCUUUCAAACGGGCAGGGGCCGUACGCCCGCUGCGUGAGGGCAAGGGGAGGUGUGUCGCCAUCUUGGAGUCGGGCAGGAAACCUGCAGGGCUCCAUCUUGCCUGUGGGCACAGAGCCAAAACGUCGGAUUCAAACCGAACCUUUGCUAGGGGACUGGCGCGGGGACCUUGGAACCUGCGGGCACGGCGUGAUCCUGGGAUCACCGCCGACUCUCCUCAGUUCGCCCCAAAGCAACCAAGUCCGACCGCGAGUGCAGGGGUGGGGAAACUGAGGCCUGGAAGCAGAGUGGGCAGCUGCAGCUGGGGAGACGGGCACGGACGCACGCUCGGCCGGAGUGGAGUCCCGCCCUCCGGGCCCCCGCCCGGCGGGACGCCCAGAGCCAAGCCCGGGCCCCGCGGGAGCCCGCCUGCCCCGGCGCUGCUGCCCUGUUGCGGGCCUGGCCGCGGCCCAGCUGCCUGCGGGCCCGCUGCCAGAGGAUUCCAGCCGGGAUUAGGGGCGGCUGCCGAUUUCCACGGAGGCCCCCCCGGCGGGCGGCCGGCCGGACCCCGGAAUCGCUAAUCAGGAACGUCCCGGUGGAUUUAGGAGAAGCCGCGGUGCACGCCCGUGGAUUUGCGCGCCCCGGGACGCCCGUCCGGGCCCUGGCUGGGGCCACCAGGGCCGGCUGCUCGUCUUUGUUCCCUGUGAGGCUGGUGCCAGGGAGGGCUCCACCCUCGCAGACAGGCCGGGGAGGGAGCCCAGGUGGCAGCCAACGUGGGUGGAGACCAAGCGCCAGGCCCAGGUCUCAACCGUCAGAAGCGCACUGAAACUCACUUAUGGCCCUCCCGGGCUCCGUGUUACUCGCGAUGCCAGCCCACCCCACCUUCAGCGCCCUCCAGGGUUCCCGAGGCCUUUCCCACAGGCCUCGCAGCCAAGCUCCCUCUGCGCCCUCUGCGCCCGGCCUGGGGCCUUCACACGAAGCUGCCGGGCCAGGUGGGGCUUCUCCUCCCCAGCUCCCCUGGAGCUCCUGACCACGUGAGUCAGGCCAGCUUCAGGUGAGCUCUGCCAGGGACUCGAGAACAGGAUGCGAGGGGUGGCCUUGUGUCUCCUGCCACCCAGAACUCCGCAGGGAGGGGGCCACCAGCCACCCUGAUCCAAAUUCCAGGGUCCGGACCAGCUCACCUUGUCUUUGAGAGUGCGGCGGCAUGCUUGUCACCACAGGAAGACGAUACUGUCCUCCUCGCGGGAGGGUGCACCCAAGGCCCAUCAGGAGCCACUCCAGUUCUUACAGGGAGAGAGAGGAGCCAUGCCUCAGUUUUCCCUUUCACCAAAAUGAGGGCCGGGGGCUGGACUCAGGGGCAGAGCUCCCCUGGCCCGCAUGAGGCCCUGGGUUCCAUCCUCAGCACCACAUAAAAAUAAAUAAAUACCUACAUAAGUAAAAUAGAGGUCUUUUAAAAAAUGAGGGGCAAGGGAGACUGGGCCUCUCCCCGGGCUUUCCUGGACGUCACACACUACUACAGUGGCCGGUUGGAGGAUGUCCACUUGUUGCCCAGCACCAUGCCACACACCCCACUCACCCCACAGGCAGAGGGGUCACAGGUUCCAGGCCAGCCUCAGCAACUUAGCAAGACCCUGUUACAAAAUAAAAUUUAAAAAGGGCUGGGGACGUGGCUCUGGUAAAGCCACCCUGGUUUAUUUCCCAUUACCACCAAAAAAAAAAAAAUUUUUUUUGUUUUGUUUUUUGUUGUUGUUAAUGUGUUUACUGCCUUGAUUACGAAAUCCACAGGGCAGGGCCGCAGGGGACCUCCCAGCCUCCUUGACCCAUUUCCCACAUUUCUGUGGGACUAAGCUUAGGGUGGGGACGGGUGGGGCCACACCUAAACCCUCCAGGCUGGGGGCUGGGCUGAAGAGCGCCUCCAGCCGCCUGACCAGGUAGUCUCCAACAAGUGGCCUUCAGGCCUCAGAGCCAGGCCAGCCCCACCCCUGCAGUGUGGUGCCGGGGUGAGCAUGGGGACUUCUGGAGAGGCCUAGGCCCUUAGCCUGCGCUGCCAAGACCACCUUCGUAGCCCUCCCACACCAGCACCCUAGACCAGCCUCACCCCUCCUGAGGCCGGGGUGCCCCUGGAGAUGCCCAACCCUCCCCCAACUUGGCCACACCUUGUGGGAGUCCAGCCAGCCCAGAGGACUUCCUGCCCCAAUACCCUCCAGCCCUCUGAGCAGGGUACUGCCCCCCCCCCCAGGUCCCUGGGAGCAGCAGGGGGGUCAAGUUCAGACCGGUAGCCUUUGCUGGGCACAGAUGGUCCGGGAGGUGGACCUGUGGGCAGCAAGGAGUCUGGCUGUCCUCAGAGGGUUGAGUGGAGGUAGCUCAAGACCUGGUGCUGGGCACGACGGCCGGGUCAGUCAUCCCAGCAGCCUGGGAGGCCGAGGCCGCAGGAUUGCAAGUUCAAGGGCAGCCUGGGCAACCUAGACAGAUCCUGCCUCGAAGUCAAGUAGGAAGGGCAGGGCGGGGACUGCACUGCUGGGGAGAGGCUGGGCCCUAGGCUGGGUCUGCAGUACCCAGAGGCUCUUGUGCCUCGGGCUUGGGCUGGUAAGGGGGGGGCUUCAGGUGUGGGGCAGACCCUGGGGGCAUGGCUGGGUGGACUCCUGAGAGGCUGUUAGCAUUUUCCUACGAGAUGUCCCCUAAAAAAGCUGACGUGGACUAGGCCAAAGCAAGGAAGAACAUGAAGAACGUGCAGAGGCAGGUGACGUAGCUGAGGCCUGGGUGGCUGGAGGUGUCCCUGGGCCGUUCCUCGUCCCGAGCUGCUUCCCUCCUCCACCCUCCUCCCCUUGGUGUCUUGCCUCAUCUGGGCCCAGAGCAAGAGUGGGGCAUCUGCGGACUGAGGCCUCCAACACUGAGCCCCAGGCAAGCUGGUCCUCUCCAAGUUGCUCUCGUCUUGGGGUCACAGGGUGAAGAGCUGACUAGGGCAGGAGGUGGAGGCUGCAGGAGCAGGACCCAGGAGGAGGGACAGGUCCCCAGGGCUUCCCAGGAGGGCACUGCUGUCCAGCCCCUCCCUCCCCUCCUGGGCUUGGCUUCCCUCUGCCUCCCCUCCUGCCAUGGCCUCCCCCCUCACCUGGGCCCACAGUGACAGUGUCAGCCGACCAUGGCCUAAAACCAGGAGCCAAAUAAACCUUUCUACCCCAA